CCCUUCGCACGCGAGCCGCCAGGUGGCCAGAGUGGUUGCCAUCGCCUAAUCGGCGAUCGCACCUGGGUGCGGCGGCGCGAACGGCUCAACAAAUCCAUCCCUUGCCCCGUUGAUUCUGAUCCCUGCAGUCCGCAACAGACAUCAGGCAUCGAUGCAAUUUCCACUCCACAACCCACAUAUUCAGGCAGGGGCAAUGUUUUCUUCUCGUACUGUCCAGCAGGCUGCAGUACAGACGUACUCCCUCCGUCCGGAAAUACUCGUCGAAGAAAUGGUUAAAAAUGGAUGUAUCUAGAACUUAAAUAUGUCUAGAUAUAUCUAUUCAUUCGACACGUAUUUUCGGACGGAGGGAGUAUAAGACUAAGUAAGUUAGUUUGACCACUUUUCUUUCUAUUUAAUUAUAGUGAUAGUGGAGAGUUGUUUGCAGUCAAUUAUGAGUUGUUUAGACAUGAGAAUUUGCAACUUUCCAUUUGAAUUUGUAGCAUGAGAAUAUUUAUAAAUUUUGAAUUCGUUAAAAAGAGCAUUAUUUAAAUAUUAGUCACUGAAAGAGGAUUCUUCUAAGGAUCAGGGGUCACAAAUUUAUCAUGCAAUUUGUAAGCUUUUUUACUAUUUUUAUUUCUAUCCUCUAUAUAUCAUAGAUUUUGGCACGCUAUGUUGAACAAUUAUUACAUCUAUAUGUUGAAAAAAAUCCAAGUUAUGGUCAAUUUUUAUGAAUAUAAUAUAUUAUGUGAUAUCCUUUAUAGAUAUUACAACCAGUGCAAUAUGCUGCUAUAAUCGGUUAUACGCGUCAAAAGGAAAACCAUAGGCUUCCAAAAAAACUUUUCAAAUUUUGAAUACACAGGUAGGGCUGUCAAAAAAGUUCGGGCUCGACAAACUGUUUGAGUUCGGCUUGUUAAAAGCUCGAUUCGAGCUCGGCUUGAAGUCUUAACAAGCCAAACUCAAGCCUAACGUGUAGCUCACGAGCCAUUCGAGCUCGAGCUCGAACAGUUCGGCAAAGCUCGGUCAAACACAUGCGAUGGAGCAUGCAUCGCUAAACUAUGGGCAUUUUGUAGGAACAUAGGCUAAAUCUAGGUCGUGCAGCUUGUCUUUCGCGACGUCCAAAACUAGUCCAUGUCUAUGUAGCCAAGUGCUACACUAACGACACGAUAGCUCAGAUCCACCACAUGCAGAAAAAAAGAGCAAAAAGAAUGCCUGAUCGCAGUUUACUUUUUUUCAUUGCUAUAUUUAGCUGUAUGUUCGGGCUCGACAAACUGUUUGAGUUCGGCUUGUUAAAAGCUCGAUUCAAGCUCGGCUCGAAGUCUUAACAAGCCAAACUCAAGCCUAACGUGUAGCUCGAAGGUCAACCUGGGCUCGCUCGAGCUCGACUCGAACUUCUACCAAGCUCAAGCCGAGUCCGCCUGUGUUCGCUCGAGUUCGGCUCGUUGACAGGCCUUCAAUUUUUGGGCCCGCCCGUGGUGCUCACCAGUCCACGCCAAAUCGGCUGCCGCCCGUCCACAAGCACACGCCUCCACCGGGGGGGAAUCAGUGCCCAGCGGACUGAUGUUGUUGCCGAUGUGCUCUUCCUGUCGUUCAAAGCAGCGUGGCUUCUCGACAGGCCGGCAGCCCCGGUUGCUGAACUGCAGCCCUUGGGCGGAGAAGAAGGGGUCUCCGCCAAUGCCAGAUGUCGUCCGCUGCUCGAGAACGCCAUGGGGAAAAGGCGCUGUCUGCUGCCAGUGACCACGCCCUAGGAGGCGCACCGUUGAGGGUCAGGAGGGACGCCUUCAGUCCAGGCUCUUCCUCCCUCACCUUCUUUAUUUGAUUCUCUCCUUUUUUCAGUGCGUGAAUGUGUGUGUGUUUUUUUUUGCGGGAAUGUUUGUUAUGUGUAGAGAUUCAAGUUGUACGCUGAUACGUAUAUUUGGGAUGAGGCAUGGAUCAGAUUGUCAAGUAUGUGAACCAGAGAUAGGAGAAUACACAUGUUCUAACAAAAUAGCGAUGCAGUAUGGACUAUGGAGGACUUGAUCGUUUACCUUGGAAGAAAGGACUAACUGCAGGGCAACAGGGGUAUCUCACAUCUAUUUCUUCAGGAUUCAGCCAAAAAAAUGUGAAACCGAUAUGUGAUGGAUGGCAAGCUUAUUUUCAGAUUUGGUCAGAUCCCACCUGCCGCAAGUACCAGACGAUUUUCUGCUGAUGAUGGCUCAAACGGUCUGUUGGCACCCUGGCCAUGCAUACAAUAGCAUUCCCUACCCUCCCUGUUCGAUCAUCUAUCUAGGUACAUUUUGUUUCCUCCUUUUUUUAGUUUUAAAUUAAACAGACUGAACUAAGCAUUUUUUACGGUAUAAGCAUGGAU